UAACUGUCAAUACGUCAGAUUCAAUGCACAAGGACACACAAGGUCUGGGACUCAACAGUUCAGAAAAGAUUAUGACUAUUCUCUUCAGUGUUGCACUUGGAGUGGCUGCUCUUGGGUUGGUUGUGUAUGUGUUCCACAGAUGCAAACAGAGAAUACAAUAUUUGCAUCAACCUCUUUACAAUACCGACGAUACAGACAAUGACACGCUUGUAAUUUCUGGAGGACUUUAUGAUGGCCAUCCAAUCUAUGACAAUC